CCGAGCUCUGCUACGUCUCUGGC
rnacentral:siRNA from 1 species